ACUCCUACGGGAGGCUGCAGUAGGGAAUUUUCCGCAAUGGGCGAAAGCCUGACGGAGCAACGCCGCGUGAGGGAUGAAGGUUUUCGGAUCGUAAACCUCUGUCUAGAGGGACGAUAAUGACGGUACCUCUGGAGGAAGCCACGGCUAACUACGUGCCAGCAGCCGCGGUAAUACGUAGGUGGCAAGCGUUGUCCGGAAUUACUGGGCGUAAAGGGCGUGUAGGCGGCCUUUUAAGUCAGACGUGAAAUCCAUGGGCUUAACCCAUGAAUUGCGUUUGAAACUGGAGGGCUUGAGGAUCGGAGAGGGCAGUGGAAUUCCCAGUGUAGCGGUGAAAUGCGUAGAUAUUGGGAGGAACACCAGUGGCGAAGGCGACUGCCUGGACGACACCUGACGCUGAGGCGCGAAAGCUAGGGGAGCAAACGGGAUUAGAUACCCCGGUAGUCCUAGCCGUAAACGAUGGGUACUAGGUGUGGGAGGUAUCGACCCCUUCCGUGCCGCAGUUAACACAAUAAGUACCCCGCCUGGGGAGUACGGCCGCAAGGUUUGAAACUCAAAGGAAUUGACGGGGGCCCGCACAAGCGGUGGA
rnacentral:rRNA from 1 species